ACACAUGCAAGUCGAACGGUAACAGGUCUUCGGAUGCUGACGAGUGGCGAACGGGUGAGUAAUACAUCGGAACGUGCCCAGUAAUGGGGGAUAGCUCGGCGAAAGCCGGAUUAAUACCGCAUACGCCCUGAGGGGGAAAGUGGGGGACCGCAAGGCCUCACGUUAUUGGAGCGGCCGAUGGCUGAUUAGCUAGUUGGUAGGGUAAAGGCCUACCAAGGCGACGAUCAGUAGCUGGUCUGAGAGGACGAUCAGCCACACUGGGACUGAGACACGGCCCAGACUCCUACGGGAGGCAGCAGUGGGGAAUUUUGGACAAUGGGGGAAACCCUGAUCCAGCAAUGCCGCGCGUGCGAAGAAGGCCUUCGGGUUGUAAAGCACUUUUGUCAGGGAAGAAAUCCUUUGGGCUAAUACCCUAGGGGGAUGACGGUACCUGAAGAAUAAGCACCGGCUAACUACGUGCCAGCAGCCGCGGUAAUA
rnacentral:rRNA from 1 species